rnacentral:sRNA from 1 species
GCGGGGGUCGGUGGCUGCUGGGCGGGCGGGGCGCAGGCCGCGGGACCCGAGCCCGGGGGAGCGAGAGAGCGGAAGCGCCGAGGAUCCGAUUCACUCGCUGGGGAGACCUAUGGGCCGAAGCCGUGUAAAUGCGUUUUAAGGCGAGUGCGGAAAGUGGCCUGGGGAGCCUCGGGGAGCGGACGCCCUCCGCCCUGGUGCUGACCUGCCCCCCUGCCUCUUCUGCCUCCCGUCAGCAGGGGCCUCGGCUCCGCAACUGCCACUCCUCCUCGGGGUGUUGCACAAGUUUCGAGGUCACCGGCGACCCCCCCUAGCAGCGCGCCUGGCUCUGGCCCCCGCGAAGGAGGACGGAGCUUGGCAGAGAUGGAGUUGGUCCAGCAUAUUGGAGUCCCUGCCAGUAAGAUCAUCUGCGCCAACCCCUGUAAGCAAAUUGCACAGAUCAAAUAUGCUGCCAAGCAUGGGAUCCGGCUGCUGAGCUUUGACAAUGAGAUGGAGCUGGCAAAGGUGGUAAAGAGCCACCCCAGUGCCAAGAUGGUUCUGUGCAUUGCUACCGAUGACUCCCACUCCCUGAGCCGCCUGAGCCUAAAGUUUGGAGUGUCACUGAAAUCCUGCAGACACCUGCUUGAAAAUGCGAAGAAGAGCCACGUGGAGGUGGUGGGUGUGAGUUUUCACAUUGGCAGUGGCUGUCCUGACCCUCAGGCCUACGCUCAGUCCAUCGCAGAUGCCCGGCUCGUGUUUGAAAUGGGCACUGAGCUGGGUCACAAGAUGCACAUUCUGGACCUUGGUGGCGGCUUCCCUGGCACAGAAGGGACUAAAGUGAGAUUUGAAGAGAUUGCUUCCAUGAUCAACUCAGCCUUGGACCUGUACUUCCCAGAGGGCUGUGGCGUGGACAUCUUUGCUGAGCUGGGGCGCUACUACGUGACUUCGGCCUUCACUGUGGCAGUCAGCAUCACUGCCAAGAAGGAGGUUCUGCUGGACCAGCCUGGCAGGGAGGAGGAAAAUGGUUCCACCCGCAAGACCAUCGUGUACCACCUUGAUGAGGGCGUGUAUGGGAUCUUCAACUCAGUCCUGUUUGACAACAUCUGCCCUAUCCCCAUCCUGCAGAAGAAACCAUCCACGGAGCAGCCCCUGUACAGCAGCAGCCUGUGGGGCCCGGCGGUUGAUGGCUGUGACUGCGUGGCUGAGGGCCUGUGGCUGCCGCAACUACACGUAGGGGACUGGCUGGUCUUUGACAACAUGGGUGCCUACACUGUGGGCAUGGGUCCCCCCAAAGGGGGGACCCAGGCCUGCCACAUCACCUAUGCCAUGUCCCGGGUGGCCUGGGAAGCGCUGGGAAGGCAGCUGAUGGCUGCAGAACAGGAGGAUGACGUGGAGGGUGUGUGCAAGCCUCUGUCCUGCGGCUGGGAGAUCACAGACACCCUGUGCGUGGGCCCUGUCUUCACCCCGGCGAGCAUCAUGUGAGCGGGCCUCGUUCCCCCCGGAGAACCCCAGCGGGGCCUCAGAGAUGCGUCUGGGAGAGGUGGGGAAGAUGGCAGGCAAGGGUACCCUUGGCCAGGACUCUGGUACCCACCCUGCCACCCCCGCGCUCCACCUGCAGUGUUUCUGCCCUGUAAAUAGGACCAGUCUUACACUCGCUGUAGUUCAAGUAUGCGACAUAAAUCCUGUUCCUUCCAGCUGUGUCUGCCUCCUCUGCAGUGCAAGGGGCCUGGUCAGCCAGGUGUGGGGGUGUUCUUGAGGUCUCCUUUGGUCUCCUUCCCACCUUUGUAAAUAUAAUGCAAAUAAAUAAAUAUUUAGGUUUUUUAAAACUGC